UCGCCGAGGUAUGUAAUCGGAUCGUGAUCGCUCCGUGUUUUUGCGUCUUUUUACCCGAUUCAAACGAAUAUUGCGUAUUAAUAAAUAUCGGAAGUAUCGAAUUUGACUACGAGCGAUCGUUUCUCGUUGUGUUAAUGUGAUUCGCGACGUCAUAAUUAUCGAGUCUCAAUAAUCGCGAUCGGUACGUGCCUUUGUUCAUCGCCUUUAUUGGAACAGUCCAUUUUUCUGGAUGCGCAUUUCACUUAUAUAUUUCACGUAACAUUUGCUCGUUCACCGAGUACUAUCUAGUAUCCGAAUCAUCGAAAAGCAUCGAAAGACAUUGAAAGGAGCAUCGUCAAGAGGAUAUCGAGGAAUUAUUGUAACUAAUUAAUGUAAGUGAUUCGGCUUAUUUGUGAUAUUCGCGAAUGUUCGUUAUCCGCCAUGAUAGUGUGCGCAUCCUUAAUAAUAUCAGUAGUGGAACGCUUGAUAGCAAGUCGGAGUAUCGGGUGCAUAUACUUCGAGAUAGAGUGCGCCCUCCAAUUAGAAGUAAAAAGACAGCAUUAUUAAUAUGAGAGGAAACUCAGAGAUGCAGAAAUUUCCUUGUUUAAUUCUCCAACUGCACAAUAUCUGUGCCCGGGACAUUUCAGUGUGUUGGUAAUUCGUAUCACCGUUUUAUGAUAUACGUAACUAUAAUAUUGAUCGCAUCUUGUUGAAUCGUUGUUCGUCAAGAGACUUCAUCUAUGUUUAUGUGAUAUUAUUCGCGAAUGUAAUCGCACGUCGGAAGUGCUGAAAGAAGGUGUAUGGACGUUUCAACGUAUCAGCUGAUCCGCGCGAUCAUGAUCGAACGUUUUCCGGUUUACGUAACCAUAAUAUUGAUCACAUCCUGUCAAAUCGCUGUUCAUCAAGAGACUUGAUCUAUGUUUAUAUGACAUUAAUGUCGAAUGUAGGCGUGCAUCGGGAGUGUCGAAAAAGUAUACGGGCGUUUCAUCAGCUGAUCUGUGCGAUCACGAUCGAACGCUUGAUUGUGAUCGAAUGUAUUUUUCAGUGAUAGUGAAAGUGUUUGUUUAAAAUUGUACACAUUCUAUGGUAUUCGUUGUGUAAUUGAAUGCAUCGUAAAUGGAUCGAAGAACAUCUAGGAGGAUCGAGAGAUCAUGGAUUAUUGAAAUAGGAGAUCGCUGUCGUCUAUCGUGAACGCUUUGUCGACCAACGAACGGCAUGGGAAACGACGCGAGGUAAAAUCGUAAAAGGAAACGGAUCGACGGAGAUUAAAAGAGCGAGAAAAUGCUUUAUUGCUUGCCCAACUCACCUUCCUCGGUGAAAUGAGCGCCGCCCACCUUCACAUUGCCGUUGACUGUAAAAGGAAGCGUCGAGAGAGAAAGAGAGAUUCACCUGACAUUCUCGAUGAAGAAUCGAUGAGAAGAAUCGGAUGCGAGGGAAGAAUCGGCAAUGAAGCGAAAGUGCGUAACUUCCACGGCACCCGGACCAAUCUCUCUCUCUCUCUCUCUCUCUCUCUCUGUCGGUGAUGGAACGGGAAGGAAGAAAAAAGGGUGGAAGAACCGGCAUGAUGAUUUCUGGCCAGGACUGUACCACUACCACUGGGUGACAACGUAGUUUCCCAUGUUUUAUGGUCAGUUCCGUGCGCCAUGGUAUCUGAUUGCGUCAUAAAUCGAACGAGAAACGGCGCGAGGGUUGUAGCGCGCGCGAUACACACGACCUACGAUUUCGUUUGCCGAAAUUUAGCGGUCGCGUCUCGUCGUUCUUUUUUCUCACACCAUACUCGCAUUCCAAAAGAAAUAAAAUCUGCAGUGUGUAAAUAAUCGUUGUGAAAUACAAUAUUACAGGAAUUAAUUUUACUAGAGACGAAAAUGUAUAUCUAAAUUUAUAUUAAUACGCGAUUUUUAAUUGGAUAGAAAAUAUAUUAUAUAUUUAAAUUAUAUAACAUUUUAUAGUAUAAUAAUAGUAGACAUUGGAUUAAAAAUACAUAUAUGUAUAUUCUCUAAUUGACAUCGCCAAUUUACAUAAUUUAUUUAUAUGUAAUUAAUUAGUUAUUUCUGUUAAACGUAAAAUCCAAAGUAUUUUCUCUCGCGUGUGCAAGAACUUUCAAAUUUGGAUUUUUAAAGCAACAAAACAAUAUAUUGUUUAGAUGCAAAUCACUGUAUCAUAUGUCUAGCGGAAUGUAGAAUACAUUAAUGAAAAAUAGUUCUUGCAGAUGCGCGGUACGUGUACGCUUAAGUGGUACAUUUCUCCUACGGUAUCAGGUUCUUGCUUGCUCUGGCAUCUCCACAUUUUUCUUGGGUUUACUCGCCAUGCCUCUAACCACCGUAAUAAUUUUAAACAGCGCGUUAUAAUUUUACACGUUUUGUUUAGUUAUUUAUUUAUAUUUAUCUCGGCUGUCAAAGAUCAGUUGACGCACGGUGCUGAUAACGAAUCAUAAAUUAAGA